GAUGGAUAGCUCAGCCGCUAGAGCAUGAGACUUUUAAUCUCAGGGUCGUGGGUUCGAAUCCCACCUUGGGCA